UACGUAGGUGACAAGCGUUGUCCGGAUUUACUGGGCGUAAAGAGCGCGCAGGCGGUCGAUCAAGUCGAGUGUGAAAGCCCCCGGCUCAACUGGGGAGGGUCAUUCGAUACUGAUCGACUCGAAGGCAGGAGAGGGUAGUGGAAUUCCCGGUGUAGUGGUGAAAUGCGUAGAUAUCGGGAGGAACAUCAGUGGCGAAGGCGGCUACCUGGCCCAAUACUGACACUCAGGUGCGACAGCGUGGGGAGCAAACAGG
rnacentral:rRNA from 1 species